UACGUAGGGUGCGAGCGUUGUCCGGAAUUAUUGGGCGUAAAGAGCUCGUAGGCGGUGUGUCGCGUCGGCCGUGAAAACCUGCAGCUUAACUGUGGGCUUGCGGUCGAUACGGGCAUCACUGGAGUUCGGCAGGGGAGACUGGAAUUCCUGGUGUAGCGGUGAAAUGCGCAGAUAAUCAGGAGGAACACCGGUGGCGAAGGCGGGUCUCUGGGCCGAUACUGACGCUGAGGAGCGAAAGCGUGGGGAGCGAACAGG
rnacentral:rRNA from 1 species